rnacentral:lncRNA from 1 species
AUACAAUAGAGGUCCAUAGUCAAGUCUGAAACCGUAAGAAGCCACAACAUCCCCUGAAAGAUCUGAGAGCAUUCAGGCCCAGGGCUCAUUUAUCCUGCACAAUCUGCUGUCCGUACAGAGUAACUCAGUUCAACUUAUCUCAUGGCCCAGCUUUCCCCUGAAGACUCUGCAAUAAAGAGGUUAUGGACCUGAUCCGAGGAAGUUGGGAAGUCCACAUGAAAGCGCUAUGGAAGAAGGAGAGAAAAGCUGCCAGUGACUCCAUGUUAAUUGAAAGUGGUUUUAAACCAAUCAAAGGUAAAAGAUAUAGCUCAUUUCUAUUCGUUUCCUAACUUAUUUUAAAAAAUAUCCAGGGG